AACCACUAGGCUACCUGCCACCUCUACACUCUAACCACUAGGCUACCUGCCACCCCUACACUCUAACCACUAGGCUACCUGCCGCCUCUACACUCUAACCACUAGGCUACCUGCCACCUCUACACUCUAACCACUAGGCUACCUAAGAUUGAUAAGAUUGAAUCUCUUAUAACAAGUGAAUGAAUUGAAACAAGUGUGUAAAAACAUGCAGCAGAUUGAGAGUAUUGAGAGUAUUGUAAAGGUGUCGAUAACCACACCAGUGUGGGUCGUCAGCCUCUGAAUGUCUUUAAUGCAGCAUGUUGACAGGAUCUAGUUUUAAUCCUAUGACAGCACAGCCCCACUACAGCUCUAGAUAGACAACGUCUCUCUCUCUCUCUCUCACGUCAACACAGCCCCACUACAGCUCUAGAUAGACAACGUCUCUCUCUCUCACGUCAACACAGCCCCACUACAGCUCUAGAUAGACAACAUCUCUCUCUCUCUCGUCACAGCCCCACUACAGCUCUAGAUAGACAACGUCUCUCUCUCUCUCGUCACAGCCCCACUACAGCUCUAGAUAGACAACGUCUCUCUCUCUCACGUCAACACAGCCCCACUACAGCUCUAGAUAGACAACGUCUCUCUCUCUCUCACACAUCAACACAGCCCCACUACAGCUCUAGAUAGACAACAUCUCUCUCUCUCACGUCAACACAGCCCCACUACAGCUCUAGAUAGACAACGUCUCUCUCUCUCACGUCAACACAGCCCCACUACAGCUCUAGAUAGACAACGUCUCUCUCUCUCUCUCUCACAUCAACACAGCCCCACUACAGCUCUAGAUAGACAACGUCUCUCUCUCUCUCACACAUCAACACAGCCCCACUACAGCUCUAGAUAGACAAAUGUAGACGAGUCCCAAGACUCUUUUGGGGGCCGUAGAGCAAAACGGAGAACACCAAAUGUGUUUGUGAGAAUCUGAUCAUAAUAUUUUUGGAGGCCAAACCGUUCGGCAUUUUCGUGAGAAGACUGAUUUUCUGGACGUCUCAUGGUCUAACAAACACAGCUGUAGCUCUGCCUCCUUUCACCGCAGAUGCAGAAGUGAGACAUCGGCAGCUAUGAGUCUCAAUCCACCGCACAUCUGCCGAUGUCGCACUUCUGCAUCUGCGGUGAAAUUUUUAUAUAUGCCCUUCACAUCACAUUCAUCCCCUUGGUAACAGAAGAAUGAUGCAAUGGUUACCAUAACAUACGUAAAGCAGGCAAGACUAUAUUUACGUUGUUCUCUAAUUCUCGCAAAAAGAAAAAAUCAGUUGGACUACAUAUUUAAUAAUUGUCUGGUUCUCGUAUCGAUCGGGUUCCCACCUAUAAAUAUCUGGGCAUUUGGAUUGACAGACUUAAUGCUUAAAAACAUACAGAUGAGCUAGUUAAAGAGCUCAGAUAUAAAGUGGGCUUCUUUAACAAGAAAAAGAUCUUGCCUCAGGAAGCAGAUUGUACAGUCACCUUUCCUGCCAGGUCUUGGCUAUGGUGACACCAUUUACCAGAAUGCAUCAGCCACUACUCUUAAACCUUUGGAUGCCGUCUACCAUGGCGUCCGUCGCUUUAUCACAGGGGACAGUUUUAAUACUCACUACUGCAUCCUGCUGGUCCUCAUUAAAGCCCAGAAGAUCACCUCAUUUACUCCCCUUUAUUUACAAAGCACUACUACACAAGCUUCUGACGUAACCUAACGUUGCCGUGAAAAUAUUUUUUCAAACGUGAAAGCAAACACGUUCACAAGGUUGCUUAACUUUUGGAGGUUCCUGGGGUCUCCAUCAAACGUUUUAGUUUUAAAGCACCUCGUUGCUGGAACCAACUACACAACACAUUACAAUAGGAUAUUCUGGCACCUUUUUAUUGAGGAAUUUUAUUGUUUUUCUUGAGUAUUUGUGUUGUGCUGUAUUUGACUGGUUUUAUAUUGUAUUAUAUUUUUUGAUAUUUUCUAUGAAAUUGUAGAUGCAGGGCUUGUGAAAGAGACCAUGUACUUAAAUAAAAGUACACAGCACUCAUGUUCCUCUGUAGCAAAAGCUCCAGUCCUCAGAGCCUGAUUGGUGACACACUCCAGCCCCAGCUAACACACCUGACUGCAAUAAUCAACAAAUCAUGGGCUUCAGUUUGGAAUGCAAAUUAGUUUAAUCAGGUGUUCUGGGGCAAAAGUGUAUAACCAAUCAGACCUCCGAAGACGGUAGUGGUCCACACCUAAUCUACAUUCUCCUACCAGACCAGGUAUAGGGGACCAGCCAGACCAGGUAUAGGGGACCAGCCAGACCAGGUAUAGGGGACCAGUCAGACCAGGUAUAGGGGACCAGUCAGACCAGGUAUAGGGGACCAGCCAGACCAGGUAUAGGGGACCAGCCAGACCAGGUAUAGGGGACCAGUCAGACCAGGUAUAGGGGACCAGCCAGACCAGGUAUAGGGGACCAGCCAUAGGGGACCAGCCAGACCAGGUAUAGGGGACCAGUCAGACCAGGUAUAGGGGACCAGUCAGACCAGGUAUAGGGGACCAGUCAGACCAGGUAUAGAGGACCUGGUAUAGGGGACCAGACAGACCAGGUAUAGGGGACCAGUCAGACCAGGUAUGGGGGACCAGUCAGACCAGGUAUGGGGGACCAGUCAGACCAGGUAUGGGGGACCAGUCAGACCAGGUAUGGGGGACCAGUCAGACCAGGUAUGGGGGACAAGUCAGACCAGGUAUAGGGGACCAGUCAGACCAGGUAUAGGGGACAAGUCAGACCAGGUAUAGGGGACCAGUCAGACCAGGUAUAGGGGACCAGUCAGACCAGGUAUAGGGGACCAGUCAGACCAGGUAUAGGUGACCAGCCAGACCAGGUAUAGGGGACCAGCCAGACCAGGUAUAGGGGACCAGGUAUAGGGGACCAGCCAGACCAGGUAUAGGGGACCAGCCAGACCAGGUAUAGGGGACCAGCCAGACCAGGUAUAGGGGACCAGUCAGACCAGGUAUAGGGGACCUGGUAUAGGGGACCAGCCAGACCAGGUAUAGGGGACCAGUCAGACCAGGUAUAGGGGACCAGCCAGACCAGGUAUAGGGGACCAGUCAGACCAGGUAUAGGGGACCAGUCAGAACAGGUAUAGGGGACCAGCCAGACCAGGUGUAGGGGACCAGCCAGACCAGGUAUAGGGGACCAGCCAUAGGGGACCAGCCAGACCAGGUAUAGGGGACCAGUCAGACCAGGUAUAGGGGACCAGUCAGACCAGGUAUAGAGGACCUGGUAUAGGGAACCAGCCAGACCAGGUAUAGGGGACCAGUCAGACCAGGUAUGGGGGACCAGUCAGAUCAGGUAUAGGGGACCAGCCAGACCAGGUAUAGGGGAUCAACAGGGGUUCCUUGAGGAGCUCCAGGGGUUCCUUAAUGAGCUCCAGGGGUUCCUUAAUGAGCUCCAGGGGUUCCUUAAUGAGCUCCAGGGGUUCCUUUAGGAUCUGCAGGGGUUCCUUGAGGAUCUGCAGGGGUUCCUUGAUGAGCACCAGGGGUUCCUUGAUGAGCACCAGGGGUUCCUUGAGGAUCAACAGGGGUUCCUUGAGGAUCAACAGGGGUUCCUUGAGGAUCAACAGGGGUUCCUGAACAAUCAGCAGGGGUUCCUUGAGGAUCAGCAGGGGUUCCUUGAGGAUCAGCAGGGGUUCCUUGAGGAUCAGCAGGGGUUCCUUGAGGAUCAGCAGGGGUUCCUUGAGGAUCAACAGGGGUUCCUUGAGGAUCUGCAGGGUUUCCUUGAGGAUCUGCAGGGGUUCCUUGAGGAUCAACAGGGGUUCCUUGAGGAUCAACAAGGGUUCCUUGAGGAUCUGCAGGGGUUCCUUGAGGAUCUGCAGGUUUUUUUUGAGGAUCUCCAGGAGUUCCUUGAGGAUGUCCAAUUGUUCCUUGAAGAUCUCCAGGGUUCCUCAAGUCACCACUAAUUCUAAGAGGGUAUAGUGCACUACUUUUGCCCAGGGCCCAUAGUGCACUACAUACUGCAGGGGAUAGAGUGCCAUUUGGGACACAGACCUUAGACUGUUGUUCAUUACACUAAGUUAACCAAGCUGGUGUCUGUUUAAAGAACUACUACCGAAUGCUAAGUAACGUCACUCUGUAAUGUACACAACAAGAGAUUUGGAUGGUUCACGUCCUGUUCCUGGGACUGUAGUGCUGAUUCUGUGUAUUAAAAUACAACUGUACAUCACAUGAGAAGGUUUACCUCUCCAAUAAUAUGUUACAUAUCCUUGAGUUGAGUCAAAGAAUACAAUGACACAGAAGCAUGUUGUUGUUGUUGUUGUUGUUGGCUUAUACAGUGGAUCAUAUUACUUCUGCACAUCAAAGUUGAGGUUCAAGUGUCUAUCGUUAGGGCCUACUGCACUCCAAGCACCCUAAAGACAGUGUCGUGUAUCUAACCACCUCUACACUAAUGUCCUUAUCUAACCACCUCUAUGGUAGUGUCCUGUAUCUAACCACCUCUAUGGUAGUGUCCUGUAUCUAACCACCUCUAUGGU
ensembl:lncRNA